rnacentral:lncRNA from 1 species
GGACAUCAAACACUUUUAAUGUUAGCUUCAGCUCAUUGUACCCUUCUUUCUUUCUCUCUAGCUAUUUUCCUAUUUAUUUUUCACUUCACCACUACUCAAAAGUCAAAAUACAGGUAACAUUUCCAAGCAGCUAAUUGAAAUGUUAAGGCUGCAAAGUCCCUUCUGUCCCAACCAAUAUGAAUUGAAUUGUAUAUUUCGCCUGCCACUCUUCAGACCUCCUUUGUACUCAUACAUUGCUAGCUUUAUAUUUAUUCAACAGUCAAAGAGUUUACAAAACUAAUGCAAAAAAGAAAAAAACAGAGUUUUUUUACAAGUUUGAAAAAUAAAUUGACAAAAAAAAUUCACUACUCUAGAAGACAAUUUUCUUGGCCAGCAUUUAGGUACCAAUAUAGCUUGGUCUUAUUCAAUUAACAUAUUACUCUAUAGUAUAUAUAAAUGUAAUUAAAUGAGUUUGAAACUUGUGUAAAAACUAUAUUACAUUUUUAUUUUAGAUUAAAUUUUGAAUUAUGUUUUUUAUUAUCAGAAAAUAUUUUUAACUAAUUAUAAAUUGAGUUCUUAUAUAUUCUAUGAUUGAUAAAUCUAUUUUGCAGAGUUAUUUUGUCACAUUUUGGGUGCUUAAGUAGUUAAUUCAUUGAGAUUUUAGGUUCAAAAUUAAGUAUUUUAGUUUUUUUAUUCAUUAAGUUCAUUGCAUAUUAAGUAGUUUAGUUUAAGUUAUUUAGUUUAAUUUUAUGUUGAAUUACUUUAAACUACUUUAAGUUUAGUUAUUACUGAUCUCUUUUAUUGCUUUUAUAAGAAAUUUAAUGAAAAGACCUUAUUUGGUGAUAAUUCGUGUAAGUAUGGUGAUAGCUUCACUUGUACAUGUUGUAAUAUUUUGAAAAUAACUUUCACUACAGAAGUCCAAUUGACAAGAUUAUUGAGCCAUUGGACAGCUAAAAUACAAAGUUACAACUUUUAUGUUUACCAUUUUAUCCAAUUCAGAUCCAAUCGAGGUGAAAAUCAUGCUGCAAAAGGCUAAACUGCUACAGUUUUUGCACAAGGCAGCAUGAGAAAACGAAGGUUGCGGCGCCCUUGAUGCCCAAGCUGCCAUACAAGAACUAGGGAGCAUGGCACCAUGACGCUGGUGAAGCAACGUCGUGGUGCCCUAGAAAAAUUGAGGCACCAUACAUCCAUUCGAGAGUAAGGCCCAAGGAGAAAGGUCGCGGCACUCGAUUUUGAUAUUCAAGUUUUCCUUUUCUAAAUUUUAGCAAAAUUAGAUCUUCUUAGAGACUUUUUAAAAGGCAACUUUGAGGAAAUCAAACAAGAGGUUUUGAGAAGGUUUUCUUUGAAGAAAAGCAGCUGAACAAUAAUUAAGAAAGCAAGAAAGAUUAUGCAAGAUUGAAGAUCGGACAAAUCUUCAGUUUUUUGUUCUUCUCUUUUUUUCCUUUGUUUUUCUUGAAUUGUUACAAUGGUUAAAUUUCUUUG